GAUCCAAACACACAACACAAACAAACAACCUGCCAAGAAUUUAAAAGAUCAUGGUGAUACUGAAGAUAGGUACUGAUGCCUAAUUCCUUGAGUAAGGACAUCUCCAGUUGCACAGGAACUCUGUGGUCCUGUUCUCCUGCUUGGCAUUUAGGAUGCUGUUUUCAAGGAGGACAAACAGUCAUUGCUCUCAGUGAAACUGGGACCCAGAUGAAAGGCCCCUUGCAAUCCUGGGUGAUGGGAAAAUGCUGAGAGCCCAGAACUGCAGAAAUGGAGAAAAGAAAAUGCAUGGACAAAAAACUGCAUGCUUACCGGAGCUGCAGGGCCGAGGAGAAUCUGCAUCCACAGCCGGAAAAUAGAAGCUUAAAAUGAGCACAGGAGGCUGUAUCGUGUGCUGAAGGUUCAGCAGACAAUUUUAAUUUCUAGAAGAUAAAUAACAAAAGCAAGCACUUACUGCUAUUCGUGUCAGGGAUGCCUUGACUGCACUCCAUUUGUCCCGUCGUCUGUCUAUGAUGAUGAUGAAUCCGAUGCUGGCAGCCUCC